rnacentral:rRNA from 1 species
AACGUAGGGGACGAGCGUUAUCCGGAUUUACUGGGCGUAAAGGGCGCGUAGGCGGUCAGCACAAGUCAGUUGUGAAAUCUCCGAGCUUAACUCGGAAAGGUCAACUGAUACUGUGCGACUAGAGUGCAGAAGGGGCAACUGGAAUUCUCGGUGUAGCGGUGAAAUGCGUAGAUAUCGAGAGGAACACCUGCGGCGAAGGCGGGUUGCUGGGCUGACACUGACGCUGAGGCGCGAAAGCUAGGGGAGCGAACGGG